rnacentral:lncRNA from 1 species
AACCAUGAAGCUCCUUUUUCCUAUCUUUGCCAGCCUCAUGCUACAGUACCAGGUGAACACAGAUUUAUUGGCUUGAGACGCUGUUUAAUGGGUUUGGGGAGAUGCAGGGAUCACUGCAAUGUGGAUGAAAAAGAGAUACAGAAAUGCAAGAUGAAAAAAUGUUGUGUUGGACCAAAAGUGGUUAAAUUGAUUAAAAACUACCUGCAAUAUGGAACACCAAAUGUACUUAAUGAAGACGUCCAAGAAAUGCUAAAACCUGCCAAGAAUUCUAGUGCUGUGAUACAAAGAAAACAUAUUUUAUCUGUUCUCCCCCAAAUCAAAAGCACUAGCUUUUUUGCUAAUACCAACUUUGUCAUCAUUCCAAAUGCCACCCCUAUGAACUCUGCCACCAUCAGCACUAUGACCCCAGGACAGAUCACAUACACUGCUACUUCUACCAAGAGUAACACCAAAGAAAGCAGAGAUUCUG